AAUCAAGUGCCUUAAGGGUGUUCGGUGGAUGCCUUGGCGCUGAGAGGCGAUGAAGGACGUGUUACGCUGCGAUAAGCCGUGGGGAGCUGCGAAGAAGCUUUGAUCCAUGGAUUUCCGAAUGGGGAAACCCACCUUCGAUAGCCGGAACUCCAAGACCUUUGUCGAAAGACAUUGGUGUGGGGUUCGAUCAGAAAUGAGAGAUGCCUGGACCUUUAGAUUUCGAUCGAAGAGGUUUUGGAUUUCCGGUUAUCAAGAGAAGGUAUGAGACUUCUGAAUACAUAGGAGGUUUCAAGCAAACCCAGGGAACUGAAACAUCUAAGUACCUGGAGGAAAGGACAUCAACAGAGACUCCGUUAGUAGUGGCGAGCGAACGCGGACCAGGCC
rnacentral:rRNA from 1 species